GAUGUUUCUGAUACAAGAAGAGCCCCUGAGAAGGCCCAUAGCCAGGAGUGGGAAAUAGGGUUGAGGAAUCAUGAACAGGGCUGAGCGAGCAUAAUACAGUCUGGGCUUGAUGUUCACUGAUUUUCCCUUAGCUCCGACUGUGGCUCUUCUCAGCAGACUCUGAUCCUGCUCUCAGCCGGGCUGCAUCUGCCCAUCUCAGCACAUCGAUAAGCAACAGAGGCAAACUACCACCUUGGAGGGAGCCAGGCAGUGUCUGCUG
rnacentral:lncRNA from 1 species